CAGGUUCGUGGAAUGGGAUCAAAAUCUGUGGACGAAGUGCUUGAUGCCGCCGCCGCCGGGGUUCACUACUCAGCAUUCCGUUUAGAAGAGCUGAACCUCCAAGCCUCUUUGUCCGGGGUAGAACAACCAACCACAUCAGGCCUGGAGAAUGGGCACCAGGAGCCAUUUGUCAUUGGUGUUGCUGGGGGUGCAUCUUCAGGUAAAAGUACCGUAUGCAAGAUGAUCAUUGAUCAGCUGCGUGAUCAGCGUGGCGUCGUUGUUGUGACCCAGGAGUCUUUUUAUUAUGGACUAUCUGAUGAGGAAUUGGUCCAUGUUCAUGAUUAUAACUUCGACCAUCCAGAUGCGUUUGAUACGGAUUUGCUACUCUCUUGUAUAGAAAAUUUGAAACACGGCAAAGCUGUUGAUAUUCCUAAUUAUAGCUUUAAAACAUAUAAGAGUGCCCCGAGCGAAAGGAAGGUUGAUCCUUCAGAUGUUAUUAUUCUGGUAGGAAUUCUAGUUUUCCAUGAUUCGCGUGUCCGUGAUUUGAUGAACAUGAAGAUCUUUGUUGAUACAGAUGCUGAUGUGCGAUUAACAAGGAGGAUCCGUCGUGACACCAUUGAGAAGGGCAGAGAUAUCAAAACUGUAUUAGAUCAGUACUCGAAAUUCGUUAAGCCUGCCUUUGACGACUUUAUCCUCCCAACGAAGAAGUAUGCUGAUAUUAUCAUCCCACGAGGCGGAGAUAACAAUGUGGCAAUUGACCUAAUCGUUCAGCAUAUUCGCACUAAGCUUGGUCAACACGAUCUAUGCAAAAUACACCCCAAUUUGUAUGUCAUCCAAACUACUUAUCAGAUACGAGGCAUGCACACAAUAAUACGAGAUGCUGCCACAACAACACAUGAUUUUAUAUUUUAUGCUGAUCGGUUGAUUCGAUUGGUUGUUGAGCAUGGUCUUGGUCAUCUUCCUUUCCAAGAAAAGCAGGUCAUAACUCCGACUGGAUCAGUUUACACUGGUGUGGAGUUCUCUAAAAGGUUGUGUGGUAUCUCAGUGAUAAGGAGUGGCGAAAGUAUGGAGAAUGCACUGCGGGCAUGCUGUAAAGGUAUAAAGAUCGGGAAGAUUCUUAUUCAUAGGGAGGGAGAUAAUGGGCAACAGCUCAUCUAUCACAAUUUGCCGAAAGAUAUUGCAAACAGACAUGUUCUGUUGUUAGAUCCCAUACUGGGAACAGUGUACACCGUGUAUGUACUCAUAUUGACUUACUGGGUCUUUCAAGAUUUAAAAUAUUGACUUACUGAGUCAGCUCCACCACAAUGAUGUGAUUCGUGUUCGAUCGAGGCAAGGAUCCAGGGACCUUCUACAAAGCCUGGUGGGCUACGAUCAAGGAUGACAUAAUUUCGGUCUUCAAAACAAUUCACCUUGGUCGCACACAUGGAUUUUCCAAGUUGAACAAAGCCCUUGUCACCCUCCUACCUAAGAAACAAGACGCAAACACUGUCCUUGAUUUUAGACCAAUCAGCUUGGUCCAUAGCAUUGCCAACCCUGUUGCCAAAACCAUGUCGCUCAGACUCGCUCCUCUGUUGCCAACCCUGAUAUCUCCUAACCAGUCUAUCUUCAUCAAGGGGCGUGCAAUCCAUGACAACUUUAUGAUGGUUCAGCAGCUGGCUGCUUUCCAUGCCGCCAAUUCGCCAACUGUUCUCCUGAAACUUGACAUUGCACGCGCUUUCGACACGGUAUCCUGGCCUUUUCUCUUUGAGCUGAUGCAAUACCUUGGCUUUGGGCACGCUUGGAUCAACCUUGUCUGCCUCCCGCUAUAUUCUGAAUCCACUAUGGUUCUUGUCAACAGCAGGCCAGGUGAUGAGAUCUACCAGACUACCACCAUUGUGGCGUCACACAAGGUGACCCCAUUGCUCCAAUGCUAUUUGUUCUGGUCAUGGAAGUCUUCCAUCGUCUUGUCGACAUUGCAGCAUGUCUUGGUCUGCUCACCAAUCUCCAGGGCUCCAAAGGAGCAUGUCGCACCUCUCUAUGCUGACGACACGGUUGUUUUUCUGAAGCCAGCUCAGCAAGAUUGUGAGACCAUUCGUGAAUUGCUGCGGCUCUUCGGUGAAACGACAGGUUUGCACACCAACAUUCUGAAUAGCUCUGCCACGCCGAUCAGAUGCAGCGACCAAGAUCGUGACCUUAUCACCCAAUGCCUGCACUGCCCAAUAAAGGACUUCCCAAUCCCAUACCUAGGCGUUCCCUUGUCCAUCUGGCGACUCAAAGCUGACGACUUGCAGCCAUUGACCGGCAAGUUGCAUAAUCAGCUCUCAGGUCGGCGAGCUGGCUUCCUCUCCAAGGGUGACAAACUGGUUUUAGUCAAGUCUGUCCUUGCUGCUACCCCAAUACACACCAUGCUAGCCACUGACAUGCCCAAGGCUAUCAAAGAGGCAAUUAUCAAAUGUCUACGAUCCUUUUUCUGGGCAGAUGGUCGCGAUGAUAAUGGUGGAAACUGCACAGUGGCAUGGUCUGGGCCUCAGCGUCCUUGACCUGAAACACAUGAGCUGGGCCUUGCAUGCCAGAUGGUCCUGGCGGUCGUGUCGACUCCUCCAAACCCUGGGCUGAUUUCCCUGUGAAAGUCAAUCGGCGCAUUCCUGCUCUCGUGCACGCAGCAACCAAAGUAGUCCUGGGAAAUGGCACCAAGAUCUUCUUCUGGACUGACAAAUGGAUCGCCGGUCAGAGCAUCGCCGAGCUCGCGUCUGAUUCUUUGCAGCUGUGAGACCCCGAACCAUAAAGCAAAGAAUGUUCGGGGCGAAGCAAGCGAUAUAGAUGAGGAAGCGCCUGCUCUGCUUGGAAACAGUUGGAUCCGAGACAUUUCUGUUACCCUUUCUAUUGCUGGGAUCAACUAAUUCCUGCACCUGGCUGAAAUCGUCGAGGCACAGCAGCUAGACCAAAAUUAUGAAGAUGUGAUAACCUGGAGCCUCUCCCCUUCAGGUGACUACACAUCCAAAUCUGCUUACUCUGCACUCUUUGAAGGAUCACCUACGUCGCCAUAUCACAUUGCAAUUUGGAAAUUUUGGGCCCCGCUCAAAUGCAAAAUCUUUGUUUGGUUUGCCACCCUUGAUCGGUGCUAGACUGCCCAGCUUAGAAUGCGUCACGGCCUCGUCAACGAUGGCACAUGCGCCGGAGUCUGAAACCAUUGCCCAUCUGCUCACUCAAUGCUCGUUUGCACAGUAGAUUUGGCAUGCCGCCCUUGGACAACUAAGCCUGCAAGGCUACUUGCAAAGGACUGACGAGGAGUUCACCUCAUGGUUUGAAACAGCAGCAUCCAAUGCUCAACCUGCAGUUCAAAAAGGAGCCAGAUUAGUCAUCAUCCUGACCCUAUGGAGACUGGAAAGCUCGCAGUGAUAUAGUUUUCAGAGAAGCUACCCCUAAUUGUCGAGAACUUGUGCUCUCAAUUCUUGAAGAGGCCAAACUCUGGUUACUUGCUGGUGCUAAGGCUCUGCGCCAACUGCCCUUACACACGCAGUGAGGCCUCCCGAUGCUGCCUACUGUGAGAGAGUUGGCCGGCAAAGUCGGUCAUGUGCAGCUUCAGUUUUAGGAAAUUCAGCUGUUCAAGCUAUAUCCCUGCUCUUGAAGAAGGGUGUCCAGGAAGCAAAUAUUAUCUUCCUUAAUCUUAUAUCA